rnacentral:rRNA from 1 species
UUGAUUACGUCCCUGCCCUUUGUACACACCGCCCGUCGCUGCCCGGGACUGAGCCAUUUCGAGAAAUUUGGGGACCGUUGAUUUAAUUUAUCUAAAUUAUUUUGAUGGAAACCAAUUUAAUCGCAGUGGCUUGAACCGGGCAAAAGUCGUAACAAGGUAGCUGUAGGUGAACCUGCUGCUGGAUCAUUACUUUAUGUGAUGUUCAAUUUUGAAUCGCAAUGAAAUAAUUGUUGUGUAACGGCUGUCGCUGGUGUCUAGGUGUUGCUGAUACAGUUGUGAACGUCCGUGGCUGUAUAUGUGGUGACAUGUUAGGACUAUAAUGAGUUUAAGACUUAAUGAGCCUCUUAAGUGAGGACGCCAGCACUCUUUUUUUCUCUAUAUUUUAAAAAAAAACAAAAUUCCUAGCCUUUCCGGUGGAUCACUAGGCUCGUGGAUCGAUGAAGAACGCAGCAAACUGCGAUAAGUUUUGCGAACUGCAGCAGCCUUGAGCAUAAAAGUUUUGAACGCAUAUUGCCGCAUAGGGGUCAAACCCUUUGCUAUGUCUGGUUCAGGGUCAUUUUCUUUCAAAGCGAAAGCUUUAUUGUAUAAUUGCUUUUGUGGCUUCUUUAUGUUUUAAAUUGAUUGUUAGAUAUGUUUAAUUGUUCGCAUGUAUCAUCAACAAUAUUAAUUUUUUGACCUGAACUCAGUCGAGAGCACCCGCUGAACUUAAGCAUAUCAGUAAGCGGAGGAAAAGAAACUAAACAGGAUUCCCUUAGUAACGGCGAGUGAAA